UACGUAGGGGGCAAGCGUUGUCCGGAUUUAUUGGGCGUAAAGAGCGUGUAGGCGGCCUGAAAGGUCUGCUGUGAAAACUCGAGGCUCAACCUCGAGACGUCGGUUGAAACCAUCUGGCUAGAGUCCGGAAGAGGAGAGUGGAAUUCCCGGUGUAGCGGUGAAAUGCGUAGAUAUCGAGAGGAACACCUGCGGCGAAGGCGGGUUGCUGGGCUGACACUGACGCUGAGGCGCGAAAGCUAGGGGAGCGAACGGG
rnacentral:rRNA from 1 species